CGCUCUUCAACGAGGAAUCCCUAGUAAGCGCGAGUCAUUAGCUCGCGUUGAUUACGUCCCUGCCCUUUGUACACACCGCCCGUCGCUACUACCGAUUGAAUGGCUUAGUGAGACUUUCGGAUGUGUUUGGAGUUGCUGGCAACAGUGACACCUUGCGCAGAAGUUAUUCAAACUUGGUCAUUUAGAGGAAGUAAAAGUCGUAACAAGGUUUCCGUAGGUGAACCUGCGGAAGGAUCAUUAAAAAAUUAAUGAAUUGUCGGGGGGGCGCGCGAACGCGCGGAGGGUUGCAUUUUUUUUUCUCCCUCUGACCGUCCGCCGUCUUUCCCGUGUAUUCAAACCAACCCGCUCUUGUAUUUGUAUCAACCAAAAAAAUAAAUUAAAAAAAUAACAAUGUAAAAAAAACUUUCAACAACGGAUCUCUUGGCUCUCGCAUCGAUGAAGAACGCAGCGAAAUGCGAUAAGUAGUGUGAAUUGCAGAACUUUGUGAACCAUCGAAUCUUUGAACGCAUAUUGCGCCUUUUUCGGAAGGCAUGUCUGUUUGAGGGCACCAUUUGACAAAUAAUGUGCGCGUUGCGUGUAGAAAGCGCAGCGCGCACACGUCGAUGAGCUUUCCAAAAAUACCGUAGGUUUUUUGGUAGCGCGUAAUGAACAGCGUGGGCUUUUUCAUCAAUUCUCGUGUAGUAAAAUAAAUUUGACGGCGCCUGGGUUGUGAAAAAGAGCGAGCCGCGCACUGGGUGUGGCAAAUUUUAUUCCCUGCCCCAAAGCCACUCUUUCCCCUGCGAAAGAUUUUUGUAUUCAGGGCCUCAAAUCAGACAAGAGUACCCGCCGAACUUAAGCAUAUCAAUAAGCGGAGGAAAAGAAACUAACAAGGAUUCCCCUAGUAACGGCGAGUGAAGCGGGAACAGCUCAAAUUUUAAAUCUGGCCUGCUGUGUUGCGGCCCGAGUUGUAGUUUGAAGGAGUCUGUCGCCGGUGUGACUAUGGCACAAGUCCUCUGGAACGGGGCAUCGUAGAGGGUGAGAAUCCCGUCUCUGGUCGUGGUCGCUAGGCAUCCGGCAGGCAUCCGAAGAGUCGAGUUGUUUGGGAUUGCAGCUCCAAAAGGGUGGUAAACUCCAUCUAAGGCUAAAUAUUGACGAGAGACCGAUAGCGAACAAGUACCGUGAGGGAAAGAUGAAAAGAACUUUGAAAAGAGAGUAAAACAGUACGUGAAAUUGUUGAAAGGGAAACGCUUGAAGUCAGUCGUGCCGGCGUCGGGUUCAGCUCACUUUUUGGAGUGGGCGUAUUUUCGCGCAUGGCAGGUCAGCGUCAGUUUUGCGCGGCGUGAAAGGGCUCGGGUAAGGUAGCUCACUUCGGAGAGUGUUAUAGACCUGAGCAGAUGCGCUGGGCGAGACUGAGGAUUGCAGCGGACACCCCUCGGGGCGCGGCGACCGAUCCCUGCUCCAGCCACCCGCGUUCGAUAGCAUGCUAACGGGCGUCGGGAGCGGCGGUGCACAGGACAGGCAAGCCGGCGGUUCGCUAAGGACGCUGACGUAAUGGCUUUAAACGACCCGUCUUGAAACACGGACCAAGGAGUCUAACAUAUGUGCGAGUGUUU
rnacentral:rRNA from 1 species